CAAGUCGAGGGAUUGAUGGGAGCUUGCUCCUUGAUCAGCGGCGGACGGGUGAGUAACACGUGGGCAACCUUCUGUAAGACUGGGAUAACUUCGGGAAACCGGAGCUAAUACCGGAUAAUCCAUUCCCUCUCAUGAGGGAAUGCUGAAAGAUGGCGUCACGCUAUCACUUACAGAUGGGCCCGCGGCGCAUUAGCUAGUUGGUGAGGUAACGGCUCACCAAGGCGACGAUGCGUAGCCGACCUGAGAGGGUGAUCGGCCACACUGGGACUGAGACACGGCCCAGACUCCUACGGGAGGCAGCAGUAGGGAAUCUUCCGCAAUGGACGAAAGUCUGACGGAGCAACGCCGCGUGAGUGAUGAAGGCCUUCGGGUCGUAAAGCUCUGUUGUUAGGGAAGAACAAGUAUCGGAGUAACUGCCGGUACCUUGACGGUACCUAACCAGAAAGCCACGGCUAACUACGUGCCAGCAGCCGCGGUAAUACGUAGGUGGCAAGCGUUGUCCGGAAUUAUUGGGCGUAAAGCGCGCGCAGGUGGUUUCUUAAGUCUGAUGUGAAAGCCCACGGCUCAACCGUGGAGGGUCAUUGGAAACUGGGGAACUUGAGUGCAGAAGAGGAAAGUGGAAUUCCAAGUGUAGCGGUGAAAUGCGUAGAGAUUUGGAGGAACACCAGUGGCGAAGGCGACUUUCUGGUCUGUAACUGACACUGAGGCGCGAAAGCGUGGGGAGCGAACAGGAUUAGAUACCCUGGUAGUCCACGCCGUAAACGAUGAGUGCUAAGUGUUAGAGGGUUUCCGCCCUUUAGUGCUGCAGCUAACGCAUUAAGCACUCCGCCUGGGGAGUACGGUCGCAAGACUGAAACUCAAAGGAAUUGACGGGGGCCCGCACAAGCGGUGGAGCAUGUGGUUUAAUUCGAAGCGACGCGAAGAACCUUACCAGGUCUUGACAUCCCACUGCCCGGUAUAGAGAUAUACCUUUCCCUUCGGGGACAGUGGUGACAGGUGGUGCAUGGUUGUCGUCAGCUCGUGUCGUGAGAUGUUGGGUUAAGUCCCGCAACGAGCGCAACCCA
rnacentral:rRNA from 1 species